rnacentral:rRNA from 1 species
AGUGAACGCUGGCGGCAGGCCUAACACAUGCAAGUCGAACGGCAGCACAGUAAGCGCUUGCUCUUACCGGUGGCGAGUGGCGGACGGGUGAGGAAUACAUCGGCUUCCUCUUUUUCGUGGGGGACAACGUAGGGAAACUUACGCUAAUACCGCAUAUGUCCUACGGCUGAAAGCAGUGGUGCUUCGCACCUUUGCUGAUUCUAUUAGCCGGGGCCGGAUUAGCUAGUUGGCUGGGUAAAGGCCCACCAAGGCGACGAUGCGUAGCUGGUCUGAGAGGGUGAUCAGCCACACUGGAACUGAGACACGGUCCAGACUCCUACGGGAGGCAGCAGUAGGGAAUAUUGGGCAAUGGGCGAAAGCCUGACCCAGCCAUGCCGCGUGAGUGAAGAAGGCCUUCGGAUUGUAAAGCCCUUUUAUUAGGGAAGAAAAAAAGCGGAUUAAACCCCCGCUGUUUUGACGGUACCCAAAGAGUAAGCCCCGGCUAACUACGUG